UACGUAGGGGGCAAGCGUUGUCCGGAAUCAUUGGGCGUAAAGCGCGCGUAGGCGGCCCGGUAAGUCCGCUGUGAAAGUCAAAGGCUCAACCUUUGAAUGUCAGCGGAUACUGCCGGGCUAGAGUCCGGAAGAGGCGAGUGGAACUCCUGGUGUAGCGGUGGAAUGCGCAGAUAUCAGGAGGAACACCGGUGGCGAAGGCGGGUCUCUGGGCCGAUACUGACGCUGAGGAGCGAAAGCGUGGGGAGCGAACAGG
rnacentral:rRNA from 1 species